CCUACGGGAGGCAGCAGUGGGGAAUUUUGGACAAUGGGGGCAACCCUGAUCCAGCAAUGCCGCGUGAGUGAAGAAGGCCCUCGGGUUGUAAAGCUCUUUUGUCAGGGAAGAAACGGUCUACUCUAAUACAGUGGGCUAAUGACGGUACCUGAAGAAUAAGCACCGGCUAACUACGUGCCAGCAGCCGCGGUAAUACGUAGGGUGCAAGCGUUAAUCGGAAUUACUGGGCGUAAAGCGUGCGCAGGCGGUUUUAUAAGACAGAGGUGAAAUCCCCGGGCUCAACCUGGGAACUGCCUUUGUGACUGUAAGGCUAGAGUGUGUCAGAGGGGGGUAGAAUUCCACGUGUAGCAGUGAAAUGCGUAGAUAUGUGGAGGAAUACCGAUGGCGAAGGCAGCCCCCUGGGAUAACACUGACGCUCAUGCACGAAAGCGUGGGGAGCAAACAGGAUUAGAUACCCUGGUAGUCCACGCCCUAAACGAUGUCUACUAGUUGUCGGGACUUAAUUGUCUUGGUAACGCAGCUAACGCGUGAAGUAGACCGCCUGGGGAGUACGGUCGCAAGAUUAAAACUCAAAUGAAUUGACGGNUGAGCNGCGAGACGACGAGAGGAGGAGG
rnacentral:rRNA from 1 species